rnacentral:rRNA from 1 species
AGAACGAACGCUGGCGGCAGGCUUAACACAUGCAAGUCGAGCGCCCCGCAAGGGGAGCGGCAGACGGGUGAGUAACGCGUGGGAAUCUACCCAUCUCUACGGAACAACUCCGGGAAACUGGAGCUAAUACCGUAUACGUCCUUCGGAGAAGAUUAUCGGAGAUGGAUGAGCCCGCGUUGGAUUAGCUAGUUGGUGGGGUAAGUGGCCUACCAAUGCGACGAUCCAUAGCUGGUCUGAGAGGAUGAUCAGCCACACUGGGACUGAGACACGGCCCAGACUCCUACGGGAGGCAGCAGUGGGGAAUAGUUGGACAAGUGGGCGAAAGCCUGAUCCAGCAUGCCGCGUGAGUGAUGAGGCCUACGGUUAGUAAAGCUUCUUCGACCGGUGAAGAUAAUAGACGGUAACGGAGAAGAACGCCCGG